AAAGGGGUGCUCCGUUUUCAACCGCGGGGCUGAGAUUUAUACCCUCCGAACCUGAAACGGAUAAUUCCGGCGAAGGGAUUGUUAC
rnacentral:ncRNA from 1 species